UACGAAGGGGGCUAGCGUUGUUCGGAAUCACUGGGCGUAAAGCGCACGUAGGCGGAUGUGCCAGUCAGGGGUGAAAUCCCGGAGCUCAACUUCGGAACUGCCUCUGAUACAGCACGUCUUGAGUCCGGAAGAGGUGGGUGGAAUUCCUAGUGUAGAGGUGAAAUCCGUAGAUAUUAGGAAGAACACCGGUGGCGAAGGCGGCCCACUGGUCCGGUACUGACGCUGAGGUGCGAAAGCGUGGGGAGCAAACAGG
rnacentral:rRNA from 1 species